CCUGUUUCUGUCUGUCCUUCUAUCUAUCCUCUGUCCUUCUGUCCUGUUUCUGUCUGUCCUUCUGUCCUUCUGUCUGUCCUUCCUUCUGUCUAUCCUCUGUCCUGUUUCUGUCUGUCCUUCUGUCUGUCCUUCUGUCCUUCCUUCUGUCUAUCCUCUGUCCUGUUUCUGUCUGUCCUUCUAUCUGUCUUUCUGUCCUGUCUUUCUGUCCUGUUUCUGUCUGUCCUUCUGUCUGUCUGUCCUUCUGUCUGUCCUACCAGGGACACAGAGGGACUGACUGACUUUAACUGGGCCAGUGUGGAGAAGCGCUUUUAGUUGACAGAAGCUAACAGCUGCCUUACUGUUUGACCCUCUGACGUUUUGAUAGGGAGAAGUGAGCACAGCGAGGCCAGAGGACUGUUGCAGAGAGGUGCGCGUUCCAAUGUUCCCACAUUCUGAGUUCUGAGGCUCUAAGGUUCUAGUGCUCUAAGGUUCUAGUGCUCUAAGGUUCUAGUGUCCUGAGAUUUUAAGGUUCUGGUGUUCUAAGGUUCUGGUGUUCUAGUGCUCUAAGGUGCUAGUGCUCUGAGGUUCUAAGGUUCUAGUGCUCUAAGGAUCUAGUCCUCAAAGGUUCUAGUGCUCUGAGGUUCUAGUGCUCUGAGUUUCUAGUGCUCUAAGGCUCUAUGGUUGUAGUGUUCUGAGGUUAUAAGGUUCUAGUGAUCAGAGGUUAUAACCAGCCCUUGCUGCAGGAAAGCAGAUGUACUGUACAUUAGCCAUCAGUCUUACUCUGUUAACCAAUUAGCAUCAAUCUCAGCUCCCUCGAGGCUUUGACACACUCCCAGUACAUGGUAGUGUUUUGAUGACAUUGUGGUUUUUUGUUAUGGCUUUAGGGCUUGAAUUAGAUCCGCUUUUGCUAACGUCCGCGUUUGUUUUGACGGGGUCAGGGGUGGAACUGCAUUAGAGCUGUCAAAUCCACAAGUGGCUCCCGGCAUUAUACCUAAAGCGGACAUUGCCAUUGGCUGCACAGAGUCGCAUUAACAGAAAUCCCAUGCAGCCUGUAAAUUCAAACACUGGAAUAUGAGAUGUAAUCUACACCUCUGUUAGGAUGAUAGAAACCCUCGUUAUUUAGUUCAAUGAUUUUUCUAUUUGAGCGUCAUUAUUUCUAUAGAGCCACACUUUCUCCCUCUGAACUUCUAACAUCAGUGGAAAUGGGUGUGGCUUCAUGACAAUUAUCAAGAGCAGCUGUUCACCGAUUUGACAGCUCCAACGCAGUUCCACCCCUGACACGGCCAAAACAUCAGCUAUGUGGGCGUCGGCUGUCGCCGGUUAACACCUGAUUGAGUCUAGGCCUUCGUUUCAGGUGUUUUUGUUGGUUACCUGCAGUCGUAGACGUGUAGUUAACAAAAAAAAGUGGCCUACUACUGAUCGUCUUUGACAAGAGUCUUUUUAUUUUGGUAUCAUGAAUGAACAUCGUAACGAUUUUAUUCCUUCAUAAUGAGAAAAUUAUAUCCUAAUUUUAUUAAAUGUGCAAUAUGAUUUAUUUUUUUAAAGACGGAUUAUAUAUUUUGACAACAGAGGGUCUAGUCUAUUGAGGAUUUUAACUGUUUUAAAACAUCUGCUUCUGUUAUUUUAUCAUACAACAGGAAAGAUGACCUGAAUAGAUAGGGCAGGAAGAUUAACAGUAGGAUUUGAGGAAGGAAGACACACUGUAGCCAGCCUUAGCUCUAUAUGACUGAAGGAUGAAAAGUCUUAUAAAUGAUGUCAUUUUUUGAAUCCAAAAGAUUAACUGUUAAUAUCAGACAAUUGUGUAUGGGAUUUACUUUGAUUCUUCUUCUCUGCUUUCAAUGUUAAAACCACUUAGCUGUAAAGAGGAAGUAAAGCAGUUGGCUGAGUUUAGUCAAUAAAACCCUGUUGUUAUUGUGAUAAGGGACUAAAGUCCUCUUGCAUGUCAGUGAGACUGAUGAGAGUGAACGUCCUGGAUUGAUUCUCAGUACCAGAAUUGAUUCUAGAAUUGAUUCUGUUGAUAUUUAUAACUAGAAAUGAUUCUAUUGAUUCUCAGCACUAGAAUUGAUUCUAGAAUUGAUUCUGUUGAUUCUUAUAACUAGAAUUGAUUCUAUUGAUUCUCAGAACUAGAAUUGAUUCUAGAAUUGAUUAUUGAUUCUAAGAAGAAAGUUGGUUUAGAAUUUAUUCAGGUUGAUUUCAGGGGGUAAUAUGGGUACCUAUGGUUAUGUGGUUAGGAGUGAUGCCUUUAAAAAAUAUUGAACAGUCCUACUGUUUGUUUACCUCAGAAGAAUAUGAGGAAGAAGGGGGGGCCUCGUUAGGAGACGAAGGACGUGUCUUAAUUGUGUUGUGUACGAAGUGACCUGACUGUUGCAAUCAAAAAGAGGGGAUUUAUUAAACGUGACACUACACUGUAAGUGUUAGUCUCUGUUGCAGGAACAGCAUGAUUUUAUUUUAAUAAAAUACAAUAAAAAACAAACAAACAAACAAAUGGAGUAUGUAAUAUAAAUAACAUUUGCUGUUAUCCAUUUCAAAGAUGAUUUAUUUAUUUGUUCAUCAGACAUGUUUUUGUUUGAAAUAUUUUGGUCUUUGUGAAAAAGGGAAUGAAAAGUGGCAAGAUUAUUAUUAUUUUUUUGCAAUUUAAUUUUUUAGGAUCCUACUAGUUUGCAUGGCCUAUUGAUGAAACACUUGAUACAAAAGCCAAUAUGAAGUGCAGUACUCCAAGCCUCUUUUGACAGUGACUGGUCUGUGGAUUCUGAUUGGUCCUACAGUGUUCAUGUCAAGUACAAUCCACCACAAUAGAGGACAUUUAAAGCAAAGAAAAGAUUAAACAUUUUCUAGCCGUAAAACAAGGCAACUCUACAUUGUGUCUCAUUCUUGGUUGAACCACAGCAAUGUACUGCAGUUUGAUAAAUACUUACCUGACAAUAACAGGCCUUCUCAUUGGAGAUCCAUUUUCUCCCUUCCUUCUGUUUUCACAGAGCAGGGUGAGAGAGGGAAUCUACCAGGAGUUAAAAACAGGCAGUACUUGGGAUAUUUUUUUUAAACCAACAUUGCAUAUUGUAAACCUUUAUAUAUAGAGAAUAUAUACUAUUUGUAAAGAUUUCUACAGAGUAUAAUCCAGAAAAUGGUAUAAAUUGGUAUUUUUUCUAACAAUUUGCACAUCUGUAUUUUGACAAUGGAUAAUAACAUGUUUGUAAUGGGUAAUGUAAUGCACAUACGGUAACAUUUGACACAAAAAAUCAUUAUUUUUAAAUGGCUUGUAGGAGUUGAUGUAUUAUUUGGGGGGGUGAUGUAAUUGGGCAGAUUACACUUGUUUUGACUGUUUUUACCAAAUAAUGAGGAACUGUGUGAGACUUCUCAAAGUAUGGUGUCAACCUCACAGAUUUGUGCAGUCUUUUGGAGAUGUAUUUCUGUGUAUAACAAUAAAGAAGUUAUGCCCUG
ensembl:lncRNA